AUGGAGCUCAUACAGAAGAAGAAGAUGAGCUCAAGUCUGCGGAUGAGGAAUCAUGUUAGAGUAUCUUCUUUGUUCUAGCCAAAGGGUAAGAGUGAAAUUUUGUUGGAGGGUGCUUAAUCAGCCAUUCCCUUUCUUAGUGGAGGUUCCUUAUUUUAAUAAGGUAAGAACUCCUAUUCCAUUGUGCUUAAGGCUAAUGAUGAAUGAUUGUAUAAUAGCUAGUUUUCUUAUGUGGGUGCUUGGAAACAUUACGUUGGUGGGCACUGAGCCACUGGACCCUCACCCAGCCUGUCAAUAUUCACGGAAGUUGCAAAUUCGGGCUGGUCUGCCAUCUAAGAUCUCACCGGCCCCUACAAUGUUUUCGGCGC